ACCGUGAGGGAAAGGCGAAAAGAACCCCGGCGAGGGGAGUGAAAAAGAACCUGAAACCGUGUACGUACAAGCAGUGGGAGCCCCACCACUAAGCCAGUGGUGAACUCCACAUACGCAUCCUUUGCUGAGGAUACGGUUAACGGAGCGAAAGCGACGUUCAACCUCAAAAGAAGCAGAGGGGGCUUAGUGGUGGGGUGACUGCGUACCUUUUGUAUAAUGGGUCAGCGACUUAUAUUCUGUAGCAAGGUUAACCGUAUAGGGGAGCCGUAGGGAAACCGAGUCUUAAC
rnacentral:rRNA from 1 species